rnacentral:rRNA from 1 species
AAUAGAUACCCGGUAGUCCACGCCGUAAACGAUGGAAGCUAGCCGUUGGUAAGCAUGCUUAUCAGUGGCGCAGCUAACGCAUUAAGCUUCCCGCCUGGGGAGUACGGUCGCAAGAUUAAAACUCAAAGGAAUUGACGGGGACCCGCACAAGCGGUGGAGCGUGUUCUUUAAUUCGAGGCUAAGCGAAGAACCUUACCAGGGCUUGACAUCCUUGGAAUUUCUCCGAAAGGAGAGAGUACUUUAUUGGACCAAGUGACAGGUGCUGCAUGGCCGUCGUCAGCUCGUGUCGUGAGAUGUUUGGUUAAGUCCAUUAACGAGCGCAACCCUUAUGAAUAGUUGUAUUUUUCUAUUCAGACUGCCCCGGUAACGGGGAGGAAGGGGGGGAUGAUGUCAGGUCAGUAUUGCCCUUACGCCCUGGGCUAGAAACGCGCUACAAUGGCCGGUACAAUGCGCUGCCAACCCGCGAGGGGAGCAAAUCGCAUCAAAGCCGGUCCCAGUUCGGAUAAGAGGCUGAAACUCGCCUCUUGAAGCCGGAAUCGCUAGU